UUCCCAUAGGCGGUUCUCCUUUUCUUUUUGUUGUUAGUGUUUUUGGCACACGGCGCCGUUUAAUCAAGUGCACAAAAUACAGUAUUUUGGCGAGUAAGAAAACGCACCGUUUUUUGGGGCGACUUCGUCGAAAUUUGGCCGCGAUAAUGCAACUGCCGCGACCACGAGAGGCAAAGCUUUCGGUGCAAUGCUAGGUCCUUCAGAGAAAGUAAAACCCACGUGUGCUUGCAAACUAUGAAGAAGAGAGGACGCGAAGUAUCGUUUACAAUAACACUGGACAGCAAAGUAUUUCAUUGGAUCAAAUUCAAUGGACGAAUCCCUUCACCAAGAUCCGGUAUUGUUCAAUAGAUCAAGGACUACGACAACUCCCUAAGCCGAAACCUUCAAAAUUUGACGCUGAUGUAGAAGAAGGAAUUGAUUUACGAUUAACUGAACCAAAAAAAAAGGUGCAAGAGUUUGUAGUCAAUUAGAGAAAUUUGUUCUUAAUGGGAGGCACAGAAAGGCACUUGAGUUGUUUGAGAUCUUCGAGCAUUAUGGUGGGUUUGAUAUGGGCAGUAGCACCUAUGAUGCAUUAGUCAGUGCGUGUGUAGAAUUAAGAUCAAUCCCAGGAGCGAAAAGGAUGUUUAAUUACAUGAUGACUAGUGGUUUUGAACCUCAUCAGUAUAUGAAAAACAGAAUACUGCUUACGCGUGUUAAAUGUGGGAUGAUGAUCCAUGGACAUAAAUGGUUUGACAAAAUGCCUGACAGAAAUCUGGUUUUCCGGAGCACUAUCUUGAUUCAUUUCUGGGCUUGUGAACAUAGCGGACUAUAUGGAAGCCUUUAGGAUGUUUCUGAUUAUGUGGGAUGAGUUUUCUGACGCUGGGUCUCGCAUUUUUGCCACUAUGAUCUUGGCGUCUGCUGGAUUGGGAUUGAUUUCUGCUGGGAAACAGUUAUAUACUUGCACUUUGAAGAUGGGAGUAGGGGACGAUAUAUUUGUUUCUUGUGCUCUGAUUAAUAUGUAUAGUAAGCGUGGUAGAAUCGGUGCUCAUUGCAUCUUUAUUGAAAUGCCAGAGAAAUCUACAGUGGGGUGGAAUACUAUGGUCAAUGCUCCUUGCAGGUUAUGCACUUCAUCACUACAGUGAAGAAGCUUUGGAUUUGUGUGUACUAUGAUGUGUGAUUCUGGUGUUAGAAUGGACCAUCUCAGAUUUUCUAUAAUGGUGAGAAUAUGUGCAUUGUGCAA